rnacentral:rRNA from 1 species
CCCAGACUCCUACGGGAGGCAGCAGUGGGGAAUAUUGCACAAUGGGGGAAACCCUGAUGCAGCAACGCCGCGUGAGUGAAGAAGUAUUUCGGUAUGUAAAGCUCUAUCAGCAGGGAAGAAAAUGACAGUACCUGACUAAGAAGCCCCGGCUAACUACGUGCCAGCAGCCGCGGUAAUACGUAGGGGGCAAGCGUUAUCCGGAUUUACUGGGUGUAAAGGGGGCGCAGACGGCAGCGCAAGCCAGGAGUGAAAGCCCGGGGCCCAACCCCGGGACUGCUCUUGGAACUGCGCGGCUGGAGUGCAGGAGGGGCAGGCGGAAUUCCUAGUGUAGCGGUGAAAUGCGUAGAUAUUAGGAGGAACACCAGUGGCGAAGGCGGCCUGCUGGACGAUGACUGACGUUGAGGCUCGAAAGCGUGGGGAGCAAACAGGAUUAGAUACCCGAGUAU